GAAAGUGAAGUACGCCGGUCAGCCAGGUCGACGGCUGGCCAGCACCUAAACCUCUAUCACCUUCCGCGACCUGUAGGGAACUUGGCAUUUGGGGCUGCAAAUCCCCCUGGUCCAGUGUCAAAUGCCGUUACUGCGCUCUUUAGGCCGUGGAGUUAGUUGGGUGAUCCUCUGGAUCAGUUGUUCCAUCGUCGGGACGACGAUGAAGUCGAUGGGGGUAGAAUGUAGCAGGAUGGGCCUUUAAUUAGUGCUGCAGUACCGGCCCAUCACGGUUGGUUGCGCUGUCUAUAAAGGUGAGUGGUUGUGCACUGGGAGCCCUCUUGCCUUGGAGCUCCAGACUGCCCCGCCUCCUGUUAUCACCGCACCUGGCCGCCUCACCUGGUCGCCUUUUGUUAGCUGGGUCGUGCAGCUCGCCGUUGUUUGGUAUGUAGUAGUUGUUUGCGUCUGUGUACCUUCUAAACUUUGCACAAGUCCUCAACACUGGCUUCCAUCCCUCAGGCAGUUCCGGGUCUUCCUUCUCCCGUAUCGGCCCCAAUUGUAGGGCAUGCAAGUGUUUUCCUCCUCUGCCGGUUGCAGCGGGGAGCGAUCAGCUGAUCGAUCGAGUCGCACGUAAUUGUGCUGCUCGAUACAAGCGAUCCCCUUCCUCCCCUUUGAUGUUCAUUCAACUCCUGACGGGUUGACGUGUGUGUGGGCGGUUUCUGCCAGCACGUUUUUCCCCCCCCUCUUCACGCUGCUGUUGGCCGGCUGCUGUUUUGCCCACUGGCUUAUAUAGCCAACACAUCCAUCCUACUCUGCAUCUCCUACUGUGCUGUACCUGCCACCGAGUAUGGUGACUGCUGCCUCAUCCUCAGUCUCAUUUUAAUCUAUUCAGUUAACCGACUUCUAACUGAUCUUAUUGAUGAUAUUAUUUGUGUUUUGUGGUUUGCUUUGCAUGUUUUUGGUUUAAUUCGUUUUCAGUGUCAUCUUUAUCUAUUCAGUUAACCGACUUUUAACUGAUCUCAUUGAUGAUAUUAUUUGUGGUUUACUUUGCAUGUUUUUGGGUUUAAUUCGUUUUCUUAGUUAUUUUGGUUUGGCUUAAUUGCUUUACAUAUUUAUUAUUUAUAUCAGUUUGGAUAAAUCUCCAUUACUUUUGAUUUAAUUUCUCUGUUAGUUUUCUUUUGUUUGCAUUUAUUGAGUUUGUUUAAGUUGAACAUAUUUUAUUGUGAAGUCAUGUUUAAAGAUUAUAUAUAUUAAUUAAAAGGAAUUGAAAUUGUA